rnacentral:rRNA from 1 species
UCCCAGACUCCUACGGGAGGCAGCAGUGAGGAAUAUUGGUCAAUGGUCGGGAGACUGAACCAGCCAAGCCGCGUGAGGGAGGAAGGUACAGAGUAUCGUAAACCUCUUUUGUCAGGGAACAAAGGCGGGGACGUGUCCCCGGAUGAGUGUACCUGAAGAAAAAGCAUCGGCUAACUCCGUGCCAGCAGCCGCGGUAAUACGGAGGAUGCGAGCGUUAUCCGGAUUUAUUGGGUUUAAAGGGUGCGUAGGCGGGCUGUUAAGUCAGCGGUAAAAUGUCGGGGCUCAACCCCGGCCUGCCGUUGAAACUGGCAGUCUCGAGUUGGAGAGAAGUAUGCGGAAUGCGCGGUGUAGCGGUGAAAUGCAUAGAUAUCGCGCAGAACUCCGAUUGCGAAGGCAGCAUGCCGGCUCCACACUGACGCUGAGGCACGAAAGCGUGGGUAUCGAACAGGAUUAGAUACCCUCGUA